rnacentral:lncRNA from 1 species
AGCACAGGAAGAUUUUGAAAUUAGUUUCAAUAAAGAUUUUUAUUCUAUUUAUUUAUAAAAUAAAUUAGUUACAUGAGAUAUUUUAAUUGACAGUUUAUAUCAGCUGCAUAUUGAUGCGAAUAUAAACUUAAAUGAAUAAAUAGUGAGUACUGUAGAUCAAAAUAGUCCCAGAGACGAAAUUAACCAAAAGUACCUGUGGCAUCAUAGACUAGGCCAUAUU